rnacentral:rRNA from 1 species
GCCGCGUGUGUGAAGAAGGCCUUCGGGUUGUAAAGCACUUUUGUCCGGAAAGAAAAGUUCCUCCCUAAUAUGGGUGGAGGAUGACGGUACCGGAAGAAUAAGCACCGGCUAACUACGUGCCAGCAGCCGCGGUAAUACGUAGGGUGCGAGCGUUAAUCGGAAUUACUGGGCGUAAAGCGUGCGCAGGCGGUCUGUUAAGACCGAUGUGAAAUCCCCGGGCUUAACCUGGGAACUGCAUUGGUGACUGGCAGGCUUUGAGUGUGGCAAAGGGGGGUAAAAUUCCACGUGUAGCAUUGAAAUGCGUAAAGAUGUGAAGGAAUACCGAUGGCAAAGGCAGCCCCCUGGGCCAACACUGACCCUCAUGCACAAAAGCGUGGGGAGCAAACAGGAUUAAAUACCCGGGUAGUCCACGCCCUAAACAAUGUCAACUAGUUGUUGGGAAUUCAUUUCCUUAGUAACGUACCUAACGCGUGAAGUUGACCGCCGGGGGAGUACGGUCGCAAAAUUAAAACUCAAAGGAAUUGACGGGAACCCGCACAAGCGGUGAAUGAUGUGAAUUAAUUCGAUGCAACGCGAAAAACCUUACCUACCCUUGACAUGGUCGGAA